CCUACGGGUGGCAGCAGUAGGGAAUCUUCCACAAUGGGCGAAAGCCUGAUGGAGCAACGCCGCGUGGGUGAAGAAGGUCUUCGGAUCGUAAAACCCUGUUGUUAGAGAAGAAAGUGCGUGCGAGUAACUGUUCACGUUUCGACGGUAUCUAACCAGAAAGCCACGGCUAACUACGUGCCAGCAGCCGCGGUAAUACGUAGGUGGCAAGCGUUAUCCGGAUUUAUUGGGCGUAAAGGUAACGCAGGCGGUCUUUUAAGUCUGAUGUGAAAGCCUUCGGCCUAACCGGAGUAGUGCAUUGGAAACUGGGAGACUGGAGUGCAGAAGAGGAGAGUGGAACUCCAUGUGUAGCGGUGAAAUGCGUAGAUAUCACACAGAACACCGAUUGCGAAGGCAUCUCACGAAUCCGCGAUUGACGCUGAUGCACGAAAGCGUGGGUAUCAAACAGGAUUAGAUACCCUGGUAGUC
rnacentral:rRNA from 1 species